AUGAGCGCCAUGAAGUUCUGCCGCGAGUGCAACAACAUCCUGUACCCCAAGGAGGAGAAGGAGCGGAAACUCCUCCUCUUCGCCUGCCGCAACUGCGAGCACCAGGAGGUGGCCGGCGACAACUGCGUCUACCGCAACAUCGUGCACCACGAGGCCGGGGAGCGCACGCAGGUCCUGCAGGACGUGGCCUCCGACCCCACCCUGCCCCGCACCAAGGACGUCCGCUGCGCCGCCUGCGGCCACGGCGAGGCCGUCUUCUUCCAGGCUACAGCAAGAGGGGAGGAGGGGAUGACUCUCUUCUUCGUGUGCUGCAACCCCUCCUGCGGCAACCGGUGGAGGGAGUGA
rnacentral:rRNA from 1 species